rnacentral:rRNA from 1 species
UGGGGAAUAUUGGACAAUGGGCGCAAGCCUGAUCCAGCCAUGCCGCGUGAGUGACGAAGGCCUUAGGGUUGUAAAGCUCUUUUGGCGGGGACGAUAAUGACGGUACCCGCAGAAUAAGCCCCGGCUAACUUCGUGCCAGCAGCCGCGGUAAUACGAAGGGGGCUAGCGUUGUUCGGAAUUACUGGGCGUAAAGCGCACGUAGGCGGAUGUGCCAGUCAGGGGUGAAAUCCCGAGGCUCAACCUCGGAACUGCCUCCGAUACAGCACGUCUCGAGUCCGGAAGAGGUGAGUGGAAUUCCUAGUGUAGAGGUGAAAUUCGUAGAUAUUAGGAAGAACACCAGUGGCGAAGGCGGCUCACUGGUCCGGUACUGACGCUGAGGUGCGAAAGCGUGGGGAGCAAACAGGAUUAGAUACCCCCGUAGUCCCUGAGCGGGCUGGCAAGGCGCAU